AAGAUUUUAAGUUAAAUUUUUAUCAAACUAUUAAUUUUCAAAAUUAAAAAUAUUUUAAUAAAUCUUA
rnacentral:tRNA from 1 species